UGGGGAAUAUUGCACAAUGGGCGAAAGCCUGAUGCAGCGACGCCGCGUGAGGGAUGACGGCCUUCGGGUUGUAAACCUCUUUCAGCAGGGACGAAGCGCAAGUGACGGUACCUGCAGAAGAAGCACCGGCUAACUACGUUCCAGCAGCCGCGGUAAUACGUAGGGUGCAAGCGUUGUCCGGAAUUACUGGGCGUAAAGAGUUCGUAGGCGGUUUGUCGCGUCGUUUGUGAAAACCAGCAGCUCAACUGCUGGCUUGCAGGCGAUACGGGCAGACUUGAGUACUGCAGGGGAGACUGGAAUUCCUGGUGUAGCGGUGAAAUGCGCAGAUAUCAGGAGGAACACCGGUGGCGAAGGCGGGUCUCUGGGCAGUAACUGACGCUGAGGAACGAAAGCGUGGGUAGCGAACAGG
rnacentral:rRNA from 2 species